rnacentral:piRNA from 1 species
UCUUUACACUGAUUUGCCUGCCAGGUGUA